CUUAUCAGAGUUGGCGGUUUUA
rnacentral:miRNA from 15 species